CUUAAAGAAUUUGGCGGUACUAUAGNNNNNUUAGAGGAAUCUGUUAUGUAAUCGAUAGUCCGCGUUGAACCUUACUUAUGUGAAUUUCUUGUAUAUCGCUGUUUGUGAAUAUACUUUUAGGUACAUUUUCUUAAUAUAAAAUUAAUUAAUAUUUCAAGUCAAGGUGCAGUUAUACAUAAGUUGAAUAAUGGAUUACAAUAAAGUAUAUUUAGAUGGAUUGUUAUUUGAAAGUAAUUUGAAGGUGGAUUUAAUAGUAAUUUUAUAAAGAUUUUUAAAAUGAUUUUAAGCUCUAUAGUAUGUACACAUCGCCC
rnacentral:rRNA from 1 species